CGUAGGGUGCUAACGUUGUUCGGAAUCACAGGGCAUAAAGAGCGCGUAGGCGGUCUGAUCAGUCAGGUGUGAAAUCCCCCGGCUCAACCGGGGAACUGCACCUGAUACUGUCGGGCUUGAGUGCAGGAGGGGAGAGCGGAAUUCCUGGUGGAGCGGUGAAAUGCGUAGAUAUCAGGAGGAACGCCGGCGGCGAAAGCGGCUCUCUGGUCUGUUACUGACGCUGAGGCGCGAAAGCUAGGGGAGCAAACGGGAUCAGAUACCCCGGUAGUCCUAGCCCUAAACGAUGGGUACUAAGUAGAGGAAAUUCCGAUAUUUUCUCUGCCGGAGCUAAUGUAUUAAGUACCCCGCCUGGGGAGUAUGGUCGCAAGGCUA
rnacentral:rRNA from 1 species